rnacentral:rRNA from 1 species
GAUGAACGCUGACAGAAUGCUUAACACAUGCAAGUCAACUUGAACUUCGGUUUGGGUGGCGGACGGGUGAGUAACGCGUAAAGAACUUGCCUCACAGUUAGGGACAACAUUUGGAAACGAAUGCUAAUACCUGAUAUUAUGAUUUUAGGGCAUCCUAGAAUUAUGAAAGCUAUAUGCGCUGUGAGAGAGCUUUGCGUCCCAUUAGCUAGUUGGAGAGGUAACGGCUCACCAAGGCGAUGAUGGGUAGCCGGCCUGAGAGGGUGAACGGCCACAAGGGGACUGAGACACGGCCCUUACUCCUACGGGAGGAAGAAGUGGGGAAUAUUGGACAAUGGACCAAGAGUCUGAUCCAGAAAUUCUGUGUGCACGAUGAAGUUUUUCGGAAUGUAAAGUGCUUUCAGUUGGGAAGAAAAAAAUGACGAUACCAACAGAAGAAGUGACGGCUAAAUACGUG